rnacentral:rRNA from 1 species
ACGUGGGUGGAUCUGCCUUGCACUCUGGGAGUAAGCUUGGGAAACGUAGGGUCGUAAUACAGGAUAGGAACCGUCUUUAGUGUGGUGGUUGGAAAGUUUUUUCGGUGCAAGAUGAGCUCGCGGCCUAUCAGCUUGUUGGUGGGGUAAUGGCCUACCAAGGCGUCGACGGGUAGCCGGCCUGAGAGGGUGUACGGCCACAUUGGGACUGAGAUACGGCCCAG